rnacentral:ncRNA from 2 species
UUCUUAUCCAGAGAGGUGGAGGGACUGGCCCUAUGAAACUUCGGCAGCGGAUUCUUUUCAUUAGAGAAUGCUGUGCCAAUUCCAGCAAGCUUUAUAGCUUGGAAGAUAAGAA